AAUCUUAUAGUCCAUGUGUAAGAUAUUAAAUUGCAAGUUUAAAGAAGAAUUUAAUUAUUCUAAGGUUU
rnacentral:tRNA from 1 species